AGUGAACGCUGGCGGUAGGCCUAACACAUGCAAGUCGAACGGCAGCACAGAGGAGCUUGCUCCUUGGGUGGCGAGUGGCGGACGGGUGAGGAAUACAUCGGAAUCUACUCUGUCGUGGGGGAUAACGUAGGGAAACUUACGCUAAUACCGCAUACGACCUACGGGUGAAAGCAGGGGACCUUCGGGCCUUGCGCGAUUGAAUGAGCGGGUGUCGGAUUAGCUAGUUGGCGGGGUAAAGGCCCACCAAGGCGACGAUCCGUAGCUGGUCUGAGAGGAUGAUCAGCCACACUGGAACUGAGACACGGUCCAGACUCCUACGGGAGGCAGCAGUGGGGAAUAUUGGACAAUGGGCGCAAGCCUGAUCCAGCCAUACCGCGUGGGUGAAGAAGGCCUUCGGGUUGUAAAGCCCUUUUGUUGGGAAAGAAAUCCAGCUGGCUAAUACCCGGUUGGGAUGACGGUACCCAAAGAAUAAGCACCGGCUAACUUCGUGCCAGCAGCCGCCGUAA
rnacentral:rRNA from 1 species